CUCUCGCGCGCGACUCGCUGUAGCUCGCGCGUGCGAUAGUGAGCGGGUUUAGAAAGCGCAUUAGAGGAAACAUGGGUAAUUUGUCUGCGGAUACUGGAGGGGGCGCCUCAGGGGGGUUUAGAAGUGGGGACACCUUAGACUGUAUGCUCACUGAACACUUCCCGGAAUCUCUGGACGACACCGGCGCGUUUCAAUCAAGCUAAUUCACUUUGGCUAACUUGAAAACAACCGCCACCGGAAGCUGUCAGGUCAAGCACGCGCAAGGACUGGACAAAAAGUGAGCUGCUGUUUGAAGAGAAGACUGCAAGAAAAUACUAUCUGAGUGAGUGAGUGUGAGUGAGGAGGUGGCGUUUAAAGAGAAACUGCAGCCGGCGUCAACUAAAAGUGUCACAUCAAGCUCCAACUUGUCCAAACCAGCUUUUCCUGGGAUUGUGAAGAGGACCAGGGGAAGCCAGCGUGCUACCAG